rnacentral:rRNA from 1 species
GUCGAACGGUAACAGGUUAAGCUGACGAGUGGCGAACGGGUGAGUAAUGCAUCGGAACGUGCCCGAUCGUGGGGGAUAACGCAGCGAAAGCUGCGCUAAUACCGCAUACGAUCUGAGGAUGAAAGCGGGGGACCGUAAGGCCUCGCGCGAUCGGAGCGGCCGAUGUCAGAUUAGGUAGUUGGUGGGGUAAAGGCUCACCAAGCCAACGAUCUGUAGCUGGUCUGAGAGGACGACCAGCCACACUGGGACUGAGACACGGCCCAGACUCCUACGGGAGGCAGCAGUGGGGAAUUUUGGACAAUGGGCGAAAGCCUGAUCCAGCAAUGCCGCGUGCAGGAAGAAGGCCUUCGGGUUGUAAACUGCUUUUGUACGGAGCGAAAAGGCUCUCUCUAAUACAGGGGGCUCAUGACGGUACCGUAAGAAUAAGCACCGGCUAACUACGUGCCAGCAGCCGCGGUAAUACGUAGGGUGCAAGCGUUAAUCGGAAUUACUGGGCGUAAAGCGUGCGCAGGCGGUUUUGUAAGACAGGCGUGAAAUCCCCGGGCUCAACCUGGGAAUGGCGCUUGUGACUGUAAAGCUGGAGUGCGGCAGAGGGGGAUGGAAUUCCGCGUGUAGCAGUGAAAUGCGUAGAUAUGCGGAGGAACACCGAUGGCGAAGGCAAUCCCCUGGGCCUGCACUGACGCUCAUGCACGAAAGCGUG